UACAGAGGGUGCAAGCGUUAUUCGGAAUUACUGGGCAUAAAGAGCGCGUAGGCGGUCCGAUAAGUCUGAUGUGAAAUCCCUGGACUCAAUUCAGGAAGUGCAUCGGAUACUGUCGGACUUGAGUACGGGAGAGGCGAGUGGAAUUCCUGGUGUAGCGGUGAAAUGCGCAGAUAUCAGGAGGAACACCGAUUGCGAAGGCAGCUCGCUGGAACGUUACUGACGCUGAGACGCGAAAGCGUGGGGAGCAAACAGG
rnacentral:rRNA from 1 species